rnacentral:misc_RNA from 1 species
AACGCAACUUGCGCUCCUUGGUAUUCCAUGGAGCAUGCCUGUUUGAGUGUCACGUAAACCCUCACCCUUGCGAUGUUAAAGUCGUCUUGUGGUGGAUUUGGAUUGUGCCGUAAUUGGCUCAUCCUUAAAUGCAUUAGCUUGCGCUUUUUACAGUGCUCGGCAUGGUGUGAUAAUUAUCUUCACCGUCGCCUUAGGCCUGUUCUAUAUGUGCAGCUUCUAAUCGUCCCUUGUGGACAAUUUACUUAACGCUUUGACCUCAAAUCAGGUAGGAUUACCCGCUGAACUUAA